rnacentral:misc_RNA from 1 species
GCACAUGAUAUAAAUCAAAAUGGUGUUUAUCCUCGGCUCAACUUGUUUGAUAUGUCGACACAAGUUGAAUUAGAAUCACUUCAGGUAAUUCUCAAAGCUUGUUCAUGAGGUGGCAUUUUACUUUUUUCUAAAAGAGGUCUUUUGUGGGACCAUUGUGAAUGUUGACCCAUCCAUACGAUGGAGGAUUGCUGGUAGGAAAUCAAUAUUAGUGCUAAAAUACCGCAAGUGAUAUCUUUU